CAGCAGCCGCGGGAAUACGGAGGGUGCAAGCGUUAAUCGGAAUUACUGGGCGUAAAGCGCACGCAGGCGGUCUGACAAGUCAGAUGUGAAAUCCCCGGGCUUAACCUGGGAACUGCAUUUGAAACUGUCAGGCUGGAGUCUUGUAGAGGGGGGUGGAAUUCCAGGUGUAGCGGUGAAAUGCGUAGAGAUCUGGAGGAAUACCGGUGGCGAAGGCGGCCCCCUGGACAAAGACUGACGCUCAGGUGCGAAAGCGUGGGGAGCAAACAGGAUUAGAGACCCCAGUAGUCCCUGUCUCUUAUAA
rnacentral:rRNA from 1 species